rnacentral:rRNA from 1 species
UACGUAGGGGGCUAGCGUUGUCCGGAAUCAUUGGGCGUAAAGCGCGUGUAGGCGGUCCGGUAAGUCCGCUGUGAAAGCCAGGGGCUCAACCCUUGGAUGCCGGUGGAUACUGUCGGGCUUGAGUACGGAAGAGGCGAGUGGAAUUCCUGGUGUAGCGGUGAAAUGCGCAGAUAUCAGGAGGAACACCAAUUGCGAAGGCAGCUC